rnacentral:rRNA from 1 species
AUUGAACGCUGGAGGCAGGCCUAACACAUGCAAGUCGAACGAGUGGCGGACGGGUGAGUAAUGUCUGGGAAACUGCCUGAUGGAGGGGGAUCACUACUGGGAACGGUAGCUAAUACCGCAUACCAUCAGAUGUGCCAAGAUGGGAUUAGCUAGUUGGUGGGGUAACGGCUCACCAAGGCGAAGAUCCCUAGCGGGUCUGAGCGGAGGACCAGCCACACUGGAACUGAGACACGGUCCAGACUCCUACGGUAGGCAGCAGUUGGGCAUAUUGCACAAUGGGCGCAAUCCUGAUGCAGCCAUGCCGCGUGUAUGAAGAAGGCCUUCGGGUUGUAAAGUACUUUCAGCGGGGAGUCGUUACCCGCAGAAGAAGCACCGGCUAACUACGUGCCAGCAGCCGCGGUAAUAC